CUAUAUACCCCUCAUAUGUUCCACCGUUAUUGCAAAAUACCCCCGCAGUUAUUUUCUAUUAAGUUAACUUGGGUUAAACAUGAGUUAAACAUCUACGACAGUUAAAAAAAAUUAAAAUACCAAUUUUACCCUUAACUUAAGGGCAAAUAAAAAAUAUUGGUGACGGUAGAGGGGUAUAUUGGAAAAAAUCAAAAGUCAAAAUACUUUUUAUACCCCUGACUUUAGGGGCAAAUAAGAAAGUCAGUGAUGGUGGAAGGGUAUAUUUGAAAGGGCAAAAUAGUAAUUUUACAGAGUUAACCGAGUUAAUUAACAGAUUUUAACUCUAGAGGUAUAUUACAAAUAGGUUGGAACGUAAAGAGGGUAUUUUCAAUAUUAGCCUUCUAAGAGAGGUAAAUCGGAAAGUCGGGAACUUUUCAGGGGUAUAUAAGCAAUUGCCCCUAUAUAUAUAUAGAGAGAGAGAGAGAGAGAGAGAGAGAGAGAGAGAGAGAGAGAGAGAGAGUUGAGCUGGAAUACUAUCGGUAGCAAACAGGCUCCGUUGUCACCCAUUUAUUUUCGAUGAUGGAGCCUCCAAAUCGACGAUCGGUGCCGUUCAAAAUGAUCUAUACCACUUGAAGUAUCUAGAAAUUAAAUUUCAUGCUUUUCCGAUAUUGUUAUCUUGUUCAUCAAGUGAGCGUAAAAAUGAACGGCUGAAAUGAAUAUCCUCUAAAAAGUGAUGAUAGAAAUUUUGUAAUUAAGAUCGAGAGUAUAGAUCGUGUUCUAAAUAGUUUAAAAAAUUUUCUAACCAAAAUUCAAUUGAUUUGGAUAGCUUUACACCGUUAAACGAGAAAACGCCUCAUAUUGCAUUGAAAUUACAAAUUUUGAAACCUUUUGAUCAUCAGGUCAAUGAUGUUGAAAAGAUUUGAAAUUUGAUUUCUAGAUACUUCAAGUGGUAUAUAUCAUGUUCAACGGUGCCGAUUGUUGAUUUGAAAGCUCAAUCAUCGAAAACAAAUGGGUGGCAACGGAGCCUGUUUGCUACCGAUAGCAUUCCAGCUCAUCUCUCUCUCUCUCUCUCUCUCUCUCUCUCUCUCUCUCUCUCUCUCUCUCUCUAUAUAUAUAUAUAUAUAUAUAU
rnacentral:lncRNA from 1 species